rnacentral:lncRNA from 1 species
UCACAAACAAGUUGUCAUAAAUAACAUUAUCCCUUUUGUAAAAUUUAGUUUCUCUUUAAAAUUCCAUGAAUUCCAAAUUGAAUUAACUUUUAUGCAAGUUCAAUUCCAAACCUUUUCCUAAAAUUACUUGUGAGAUUUGGGAAAUCCCUCUGGUCGUGAGCACUUUUCUUUUAUAGGGAAAUAGGUCACGAGAAGGGAGAGAAAAGUUUUCCCAACCAGUGAGAAAGGAGCUGCCCUUGCGGACAUAGGGACACGUAGGCUAUGCCAUGUACAAACACAGCUGCAGGAAAACCUGCGGGUAUACAACUUGCCUUCUAUUUUUCCCUCUGCCGUGGGACACUCCACUCACCACAAAAUAUGGUGACAGAAAGCUUAGUGCGAGUUGUUCACCUUCCUAGCAAGGUAUCUUCAUUUGGCCAUCUAGGGUAGAAAUAUCACUUGCAUGUGAUAUGAUGCCCAAAAUUGAAAGGAAAAUCCUCCUUAAAAAGGUUGUGUCUUCAAGCCUUCUUCAUCCAAUCUAGAGGAGAGAAAAAGAAUUUCAACCAGAGAGAAAACCAGAGAGAAAACCAGAGAGAAAACCAGAGAGAAAGCAAGAGAGAAGAAAACGAUUGUGUGUGAAGCUUGUGUGAGCAAGAAUUAUGACACCUUUCCUCCUUUGAAAGAUAAAUUAUUCCCUUGGUCUUUUAUUUCAUUACCACCUUCAAUUGGUAAUUUCUUUUUUGCUUUUAGCUAACCCAAACCAAAAGCCCUGGUGCUUUAAUUAAAGCUUUUUUUUAGAAAAAAAGAGCUUCCGGACUGUACAGGUAGUAGUCGACUUCUCCUUCCUUUUUCUUCUUUCUUUUAUAUUUCUUUUUAAUUCCUAGGAUAUAGAUAAGUGUAAGCCUCUAGGAUCAUCGAAACUAAACUGCAGCAGUGGAAUUGCUCUAGAAAUCCGCAGGUUCGUUGCUAACACUAUCAGUGUUGUCCAGGUGAAUUACAGAUUGUUCUCCUUGCUUAAAAACUUAAUUUCUUGAGCCUUUGGACAGCAAUUACGAUGUAAGAAUAGUGGUAAUCUAUCAUAUGCAAAUAAUUGGUUUUCUUAAUCCAUUUAAUCAGUGAUAAUCUUUCAAAAGUUGUUCAUACUUGUUGUUUCAAGUUGAAGUAAAUGUGUGUGUUCAUGCAUAUUUUGAAGUUUAAUUUGUAAUUUGUAUGUUAAGUGACUUGUAUUUAUGUUUCAGGAUGAUUGAUGAUGUAUUAAAAUGAUUAUAUAAGGAAAUUUGGAAGGAAAACACAAAGGAUGACGGUAAGGGGCCUGCAUUUCUGCUAUCUACAUUUGUCAGGCACAAAAGUUCUAAGAAAAAGGUUAGACAAAACUCUGCCAUGUGCGAUGCACCCACGGGAUAUUUUUUAGGCACCUAAAAGCCCCGAGACUAGGUCCCUUGGCACGUUUCAUAUGCACAGCAUGUUGCAUGAAGACGUGCAACUCUACCAAGUGCUGUUGUGUGCCAAUAGAGCUCGGGACAAGCACUGUUGUGUGCGGGAUUCGUGUCUUUAUGCCCAAAAAUGACAGGACAAGGGUCCCCAUGGCAUGUUAUUCUGCACAGCAUGGCUUGUGGCCCGUGUGACUUUGCCAGCCGCUAGGCACUAAGAGAGCCAAGUGAGAUAGGCACCGCUCUAGUAUGCAAGGGUGCAACAAAAGUUCCCCUUUAUGCAGGCUGUUCUUAAGCUGCUUCACAGAUUAAAUUUUAUAAGUGAAAAAUGGAAAGAAAAAAAGAUAAAAAUUGAAUAAAAAUAAAGAAAUAAUACGAUUGUUAAGAAAAUGAAUAAAUUAAGAAACUAAAACAAACAAAGAAAUGUUUUUAAAUUGAAAAUUUUGAUUUACAAUUAAAAGGAAAAUGAAAAUUUUGACAAAAAGGAAACUUGGGCUAAAAAUUAAACGAAGAAAAUAAUAAGGUGUUUUAUUAAGUCAGCCAAAUGAAGGAAUUAAGGUAAACAAGGAAAUAUAUUUGAAUGGUGAGUUUAAUUGGUUAAUAAAAAGGAAAUUAAAUAAAUUGCAUAAUGGAAAGAUAAGGAAAAUUAAAGGACAAUGGGCAAGGGAUAGUUAGGAAAAAUAGAAUUAAAAGUAGAAUUAGUUUUUAGGUCAGUUUAAAAUACUAAAUAUAAUGGAAAUAUUAAAUAAAAGCCAAUAUAACUUAAUUAACCAAGAGUCAUGGUAAAUCAGUUUACUUAUUUCCUUGGAGUGGAUGUUGUUUUGUAUGGUUACUAAUUGCAGGAAUCCUACUCUAUGGAUGGGCUAAUGGUGUUUCGCUCUAAAGAGAGUAAGACUGAUGAUGACCCACUCUGACGAGAGUCUGGACGAUGUACAAUUAAUGGUUAUUAUAAUGAAGUACUACUAUAACUGUAGAAUAUUGUUACCGAUAUUGAUUAUUAUUAUUAAUUGACGAUCCCGAUUCAUAGUAGUACCCGAGUAUCCCUUCUACCCUCCUUGGGUAUAGUAUUAAAUGAUUUCACACGAAUGUAUGCCAUCAGUGAAACUUAAAUUAAGAUAACAACCUAUAAUAAGAUUUCAAAAGAGUGUUUAAGUCUGAGUUAGUGUUAUUGAAAUGAUUGAUAUAC